ACCAGGGAGCAUUAAAGCAGGCCUACGUAUCGCAAAAAUAGGGGAAAAAAUGCAAGAUAAAAAGUUUCCUUAUUUUAGUUCAUCAUUUGAACAUAGAUUUACAAGUACUAAAAGCUAGAAAAUCAUAAUAAGGAAUUAUAUUAGCUCAUUAUGCAUUGACAGAAAUUGGAUUUUAUUCCUGAUGGAUGAUAGACUUCAAAACUUGACUAUGGGGGAUGCCAAUACAAGGAAAUAUGAA
rnacentral:misc_RNA from 1 species